CAAUAGCGUAUAUUAAAGUUGUUGCAGUUAAAAAGCUCGUAGUUGGAUUUCUGCUGAGGACGAUCGGUCCGCCCACUGGGUGAGUAUCUGGCUCGGCCUUGGCAUCUUCUUGGAGAACGUUGCUGCACUUGACUGUGUGGCGCGGUAUCCAGGACUUUUACUUUGAGGAAAUUAGAGUGUUUCAAGCAGGCGCACGCCUUGAAUACAUUAGCAUGGAAUAAUGAGAUAGGACCUUGGUUCUAUUUUGUUGGUUUCUAGAGCUGAGGUAAUGAUUAAUAGGGAUAGUUGGGGGCAUUCGUAUUUAACUGUCAGAGGUGAAAGUCUUGGAUUUGUUAAAGACGGACUACUGCGAAAGCAUUUGCCAAGGAUGUUUUCAUUGA
rnacentral:rRNA from 1 species